GGACCAAGAGGAAAACGGCCGCUCAAGCUGAAGCCUGUUUCCCUUAGUUUAGACCCGCCCACAAGCUCCUCGAUUGGCUCUGCCGUUUCUUGUGUGAUUGGCCGUCCCCGCUGUCACUCCAUCCUGCUUGCACACCGGUCUGCUGGAGUUGCCCAGGUAACAUCAGAGGUUUCAUUUACAUUCACGUUUGAAUCAGUGUCCAUGUGUGUGUGUCCAGAAAGUUUAUUCUAUAUUUACAUUUACAUUCUUUACAGCCAGUCAAACCAAAAAAGGGAACAGUAAACGUAAAAGUAGCAAUAGAAAACUAGAAGAACUACUAUUGUCUACUGAGGGCGCCCACCGGUUAGCUCAGUCGGUACAGCUGGCGACCCGCAUAAGGAGCUGCUGCAGCCGCGUUCAAAUCCGACGUGCUGCCCCUUGCUGCAGGCCAUCUCCUCUGUCUCCACCCACCAUCACUGUCCCUCUACAGCUGUGUCCAUAAAUAAAGCCAUCAAAAGGCCAAAAAAAUAACUUGUGUCCCCCACACCCUGAAAUCAAAAUUUCGUCCUUGAUCUGAGCUGAGACUAGGUAUGUAACAAUGAAAUGUCGUUCCAAUUGAGUACUCACUCUCUUAAACUUUAGAUCUUGAAAUAAAUAUUUGUUUGUGCGUGUGAACAUGAGUUUAGUGUGGUGAAAGCUGUCAUAACAAGCAGCAGGAGAGCACCUUGUUAACCUCGUGGUAUACUGCAUGCUCAAAAUAUCAGUUUAAUACCAUUCUAAUCAAAAUAUCAAUCAACCUACAGGUACCUAGGUCCAAUCUUAAACACUGGUCUAUGAAUAAGGCUUUAUUGUGAUACAGGCAGUCAUUUAGACACAACAAUAGUUUUGUGGUUGAAUGUUCAGCUCAAGUCUAGAAGGCCCUACAAGUCAUGAUGACGAACAUGAAUCAGAAUAAGCUCAGGUAUUGCACAUCUUUAGCAGACCACCCAAAAAUCCACUAGAAUGCAGGAAAUCACAUCUAUUUUAUCCAAAAUUCCCUGGGGUGGACCUUCAGCUAUGUCUGCUUCUCAGAAUGUAACCAAUAUUGUCCAUCUCCAGUAGGCUGCCCCUAUCAGCGGAAUUUGGGCCUCCCCACAAACCACCAGAAUGCAGGGCACAACAUGGGUACAACAUCAAAUGAAUUCCAAUUCUCUGAUAUCUGAGCCACAAACUUGUGUGGCUGCGUGCGCGGCAUCAUUUUGGUCACCCCCUGACAAAAUCUCACUCCAAGGUUUUUUGAAAAGUUGGCAGGUAUGCAGUUACUGUAGUUAAAGUACUGAUACACUGUACUAACAGUUACUGUAGUUAAAGUACUGAUACACACUGUACUAACAGUUACUGUAGUUAAAGUACUGAUACACUGUACUAACAGUUACUGUAGUUAAAGUACUGAUACACACUGUACUAACAGUUACUGUAGUUAAAGUACUGAUACACUGUACUAACAGUUACUGUAGUUAAAGUACUGAUACACACUGUACUAACAGUUACUGUAGUUAAAGUACUGAUACACUGUACUAACAGUUACUGUAGUUAAAUACUGAUACACACUGUACUAUUUUAUUAUUAUAUUUUACUAUAUUUUACACAGGGAUAUACAGAGACCUACAGAGAUCUAUAGAGAUCUACAGGGAUCUACACGGGUCUACAGGGAUCUACAGAGAGCUACAUUUGAGAAAUUUUGGGUUCUCUAAAAUAUCUUUUUCGUGCUCUGUGUUUCUUUACGUUUAUAUUUUUCUCUAUAUUUAAGUUCUCAAAAUAAAUAAUGGCUGAUGGUCGAGCUGUCUAUCCCGCUGUAGACAAAUGUUCAUAAUUUAAUAAGAUACAACUUAAGACCGUUAAAGGGACAUUAUGUAGGAAUUUCUCCCAUCUAGCGGUGAAAUUGUAUUUUGCAUUCAAACGAAUAGUGCUCUCUAGUGCCUCGCGUUUUCAAAUGCGUAUUGCAACUACGGUAGCUGUUAUGUACCAAGAAGCCUACCUGUGGAGGAGAAAGCAGGCAACUUCAGCGUCCCUUUGAAUAUCUUUCUCCUUCAUUGGCUCUUUCCACCUGGGAAAAGCUACCCCGAUGUUUACCCUCGUUUUUUGAAUUCGCCGGUCAUGUUGCCUUUUUAAUUCCCUUUUUCGCUUUUUUGGCGAUGAGGAUUCCUUCUCCUGUGGCUCGGCAUAAGUAUGAUCCUCCAUUAUUAACUAAAGUGCAGUGCAGACUUUCAAAUGUGCCUCUCACUGAUCUCCUUCUCGGUUAUAGCUGGUUUCAGUCACGUGACUCUGGCUCUGAACGAGAACACGUUGUGGAUUAGCGAGACAGGUAGGCUAAUGCUUUAUGUCCCUCUCGGCGAUUAUAGUUUUUCAGAAUGGCGGAACGACAUGGAAGCCUCCAUGGACUUGCCCGUCCAAUGUACAGUGGAUAUAAAAAGUCUACACACCCCUGUUAAAAUGCCAGGCUUUUGUGAUGUAAAAAAAUGAGACAAAGAUAAAUCAUGUCCAAACUUUUUCCACCUUUAAUGUGACCUAUAAUGUGAACAAUUCAAUUGAAAAACAAACUGAAAUCUUUUAGGUGGAAAAUUAAAAAAUAGAAAACUUACAAUAACCUGGUUGCAUAAGUGUGCACACCCUCUUAUAACUGGAGAUGUGGCUGUGUUCAGAAUUGACCAAUCACAUUCAAACUCAUGUUAAAUAGUAGUACGCACCUGCUAUCAUUUAAAAUGACUCUGAUUAAUCCCAAAUAAAGCUCAGCUGUUCCAGUAGGACUUUCCUGACAUUUUCUCAGUUGCAUCUCAGAGCAAAAGCCAUGGUCCACAAAGAGCUUCCAAAACAUCAGAGGGAUCUCAUUGUUAAAAGGUAUCAGUCAGGAGAAGGGUACAAAUGAAUUUACAAGGCAUUAGAUAUACCAUGGAACACAGUGAAGUCAUCAUCAAGUGGAGAAUAUGGCACAAGAGUGACCUUACCAAGAACUGGACGCCCCUCAAAAAUUGAUGAAAAGACGAAAGUUGUUCUUGGCCCCAAAAACCUUAGAGACUCAUUGUCUAAAGAUAUAGUCACUCUAGAUGGCAUUAACUUGGCCUCUAGCACCACUGUCAGGAAUCUUGGAGUUAUCUUUGAUCAGGAUUUGUCAUUUAACUCCCACAUAAAGCAGACCUCUAGGACUGCCUUCUUUCAUUUACGUAAUAUUAGAAAAAUUAGACACAUACUAUCACAGACAGAUGCAGAAAAACUAAUCCAUGCAUUUGUUACUUCAAGGCUGGAUUACUGCAACUCUUUAUUAUCAGGUUGCCCCAAUAAGUCCAUUAAAACGCUCCAAUUAAUUCAGAACGCUGCAGCACGAGUACUGACAGGAACUAGAAAAAGAGAUCACAUCUCUCCUGUACUAGCUACUCUGCAUUGGCUCCCUAUAAAAUGUAGAAUUGAAUUUAAAAUACUCCUCCUCACCUAUAAAGCUCUUCAUGGUCAGGCCCCUUCAUAUCUUAAAGAGCUCAUAGUACCCUAUUACCCCACUAGAACACUACGUUCUCUGAAUGCUGGGCUACUUGUGGUUCCUAUAGUCUCUAAAAGUAGAACAGGAGCCAGAGCCUUCAGUUACCAAGCUCCUCUCCUGUGGAACCAGCUUCCAGUUGUGGUUCGGGAGGCAGACACCCUCACCACAUUCAAGAGUAGGCUUAAGACAUUCCUCUUUGAUAAAGCUUAUAGUUAGGGCUGGAUCAGGGGAGUCCUGAACCAUCCCUUAGUUAUGCUGCUAUAGGCCUAGACUAUUGGGGGAUUUCCCAUGGUGCACUGAGCUCCUCUCUUCCUCUCUCUUUCUGCACUCAUUCAUGUCCCUUUAAUGCAUGUUACUAACUCCACUUCUUCCCCGGAGUUCUUGUGCUUUCUCGUCUCGCAGGUUCUCAUGGAUCCUGGUGGAGCCUCCUGCCAUGGUCCUGCUUGACUGCCAUUGCCAAUACUGUUGUUGCUGUGCACCUGUCUGUCUGUCUGUCUGUCGCUCUCUCUCUCUCUCUCUCUCUCUCUCUCUCACCCCAACUGGUCGAGACAGACGACCACCCACCUAGAGCCGGAGGAUCUGUCCUAGGUUUCUGCCUUUUAACAGGCAGUUUUUCCUUGCCCUUGUCGCCAAGUGCUUGCUCAUGGUGGUACUGUUGGGUCUCUGUAAUUAAUGUUAAAGAGUUCGGUCUAGACCUGCUCUAUUUGAAAAGUGUCCUGAGAUAACUUCUGUUAUGAAUUGGCGCUAUACAAAUAAAAUUGAAUUGAAUUGAA